rnacentral:lncRNA from 1 species
UACAAUAACACGUGAAAAAUAGUGAUAAUUUCAUGUAAUAGCAUCUAUGAAAACCAUAGAGUUUUGAGUAACAAAAAAGAAUGAUAAAAAGUGCCUGCAUAAAGCAAUACACUACUAUAUGAUCGUGGAACAAAGUAAACAUAUUUGCAAUCUUUAAUCUUGACACAUAGCGUUGGCCUUGCUUCACAGGUGUUGUGCGGGUCAUCUUCCUGAUUACGAACAUUUGGCUUCAGGGCUCACGCCUUCAACUCUUCACCCCA